rnacentral:rRNA from 1 species
UACGUAGGGGGCAAGCGUUGUCCGGAUUUAUUGGGCGUAAAGCGCGUGUAGGCGGCCUUACAGGUCAGCUGUGAAAACUCGAGGCUCAACCUCGAGACGUCGGUUGAAACCGUAUGGCUAGAGUCCGGAAGAGGAGAGUGGAAUUCCCGGUGUAGCGGUGAAAUGCGCAGAUAUCAGGAGGAACACCAAUGGCGAAGGCAGCUCGCUGGGACGUGACUGACGCUGAGACGCGAAAGCGUGGGGAGCAAACAGG